rnacentral:rRNA from 1 species
GAGUUUGAUCCUGGCUCAGGAUAAACGCUGGCGGCGCACAUAAGACAUGCAAGUCGAACGGACUUAACCAUUAGUUUACUAUUGGAGCGGUUAGUGGCGGACUGGUGAGUAACACGUAAGCAACCUGCCUAUCAGAGGGGAACAACAGUUAGAAAUGACUGCUAAUACCGCAUAUACCUAAGUAUCACAUGAUACAAUAGGGAAAGGAGCAAUCCGCUGAUAGAUGGGCUUGCGUCUGAUUAGAUAGUUGGUGGGGUAACGGCCUACCAAGUCAACGAUCAGUAGCCGAACUGAGAGGUUGAACGGCCACAUUGGGACUGAGAUACGGCCCAGACUCCUACGGGAGGCAGCAGUCGGGAAUAUUGCGCAAUGGAGGAAACUCUGACGCAGUGACGCCGCGUGCAGGAAGAAGGUUUUCGGAUUGUAAACUGCUUUAGACAGGGAAGAAAAAAGACAGUACCUGUAGAAUAAGCUCCGGCUAACUACGUG